rnacentral:rRNA from 1 species
AUAACCGUGGUAAUUCUAGAGCUAAUACAUGCUGAAAACCCCAACUUCGGGAGGGGUGUAUUUAUUAGAUAAAAAACCAACGCCCUUCGGGGCUUCUUGGUGAUUCAUGAUAACUUAACGGAUCGCAUGGCCUUGCGCCGGCGACGGUUCAUUCAAAUUUCUGCCCUAUCAACUUUCGAUGGUAAGGUAUUGGCUUACCAUGGUUUCAACGGGUAACGGGGAAUUAGGGUUCGAUUCCGGAGAGGGAGCCUGAGAAACGGCUACCACAUCCAAGGAAGGCAGCAGGCGCGCAAAUUACCCAAUCCCGACACGGGGAGGUAGUGACAAUAAAUACUGAUACAGGGCUCUUUUGGGUCUUGUAAUUGGAAUGAGUACAAUUUAAACCUCUUAACGAGGAACAAUUGGAGGGCAAGUCUGGUGCCAGCAGCCGCGGUAAUUCCAGCUCCAAUAGCGUAUAUUAAAGUUGUUGCAGUUAAAAAGCUCGUAGUUGAACCUUGGGUCUGGCUGGCAGGUCCGCCUCACCGCGUGUACUUGUCCGGCCGGGCCUUCCUUCUGGAGAACCUCAUGCCCUUCACUGGGCGUGUUGGGGACCAGGACUUUUACUUUGAAAAAAUUAGAGUGUUCAAAGCAGGCCUUUGCUCGAAUACGUUAGCAUGGAAUAAUGAAAUAGGACGUGCGGUCCUAUUUUGUUGGUUUCUAGGACCGCCGUAAUGAUUAAUAGGGACAGUCGGGGGCAUCAGUAUUCAAUUGUCAGAGGUGAAAUUCUUGGAUUUAUUGAAGACUAACUACUGCGAAAGCAUUUGCCAAGGAUGUUUUCAUUAAUCAGUGAAC